UGAUAUUAAACCCAGUAACAUAUUGCUUGACGCAACUUUUAAUGCUAAGAUUGGUGAUUUCGGACUUGCAAGAUUGAAGACUGAGGAGAAUGUUGUGGAGAAGGAGACUUAUGUAGUUGCAGAGGAUAAUGGAUCGAUUUUGUAGGAAACGGAAAGUGUGGUGACUGGAGACGAGGAUAGUCAUACGGCUAUAGGCGUUGAUCGAUCACCGGAGAGUUUUGCUGCUAGGGGUUUAGAUUCAGAUGCUUCACCGGA
rnacentral:misc_RNA from 1 species